AGCGGAAUUCGUGAGACCCAAAGAACGGGUUCUGCAGCUACAGAAACACCUAUGUUUCCUGUUUACCUGUUUCCUGUGUCUUGAAUAUUAAUUUGUGUCUGUAUAUGUGAGAUUGUUGACUCUUUUCUGUAUAUUUUUCUGCGUGGUUGUCUGUUCUUCCACAGUUGAUGAAGAGAUGAAGCUGACAGAUCACAAGAUGUGUAAGAAGAAGAAGGAUCUCUCUUCAUUU
rnacentral:sRNA from 1 species